AUUGAACGCUGGCGGCAGGCCUAACACAUGCAAGUCGAACGAGUGGCGGACGGGUGAGUAAUGUCUGGGAAACUGCCCGAUGGAGGGGGAUAACUACUGGAAACGGUAGCUAAUACCGCAUACCAUCGGAUGUGCCCAGAUGGGAUUAGCUAGUAGGUGGGGUAACGGCUCACCAAGGCGACGAUCCCUAGCUGGUCUGUGAGGAUGAACAGCCACACUGGAACUGAGACACGGUCCAGACUCCUACGGGAGGCAGCAGUGGGGAAUAGUGGACAAUGGGCGCAAGCCUGAUGCAGCCAUGCCGCGUGUAUGAAGAAGGCCUUCGGGUUGUAAAGUACUUUCAGCGAGGAGGCGUUACUCGCAGAAGAAGCACCGGCUAACUCCGUGCCAGCAGCCGCGGUAAUUC
rnacentral:rRNA from 1 species